rnacentral:rRNA from 1 species
AGGACUAACGCUGGCGGCGUGCCUAACACAUGCAAGUCGAACGAGGUAGCAAUACCUAGUGGCAGACGGGUGAGUAACGCGUGGUCAACCUACCUCUUAGUGGGGGAUAACUAGCCGAAAGGUUAGCUAAUACCGCAUACGAUCGUCGCGAGGCAUCUCGUGACGAUGAAAGGAGCAAUUCGCUAAGAGAGGGGACUGCGUCCCAUUAGUUAGUUGGUGGGGUAAUGGCCUACCAAGACUCCGAUGGGUAGCUGGCUUGAGAGAGCGACCAGCCACACUGGAACUGAGACACGGUCCAGACUCCUACGGGAGGCAGCAGUGAGGAAUUUUCCGCAAUGGGCGCAAGCCUGACGGAGCGACGCCGCGUGUGGGAAGAAGGCCUUCGGGUCGUAACCACUGUCGAAGGGACGAUAUGACGGUACCUUGGAGGAGCCCGGCUAACUACGUGCCAGCAGCCGC